rnacentral:lncRNA from 1 species
UGACCUCAACAGGCCCAGCAGCGGCUGGUGGUCAGUCACCAAGGACGCGCGCGCGCACACACCGUGCCUGGGGGCACCGAGCCGACCGACCCACAACACAACAUCAACUCACCGAGAAUGUGAAGUGCCGCAUGGGCCGAGCCGGUGUGGGCAACAUCGCACGACGACGUGGCCCCUGGUGGGGCAUCCAGAGAGGGGCGACGCGCUAUCCACGGGCACGCAUCACACGGGGCGGCGAACAACCAGAGGAACGAGCAGACGACGAGACGGAGGAGGGCGA